rnacentral:rRNA from 1 species
GACAGAGGGUGCAAACGUUGUUCGGAAUUACUGGGCGUAAAGCGCGUGUAGGCGGCUAAGUAAGUCGGGCGUGAAAUCCCACGGCUCAACCGUGGAAGUGCACUCGAAACUGCAUAGCUAGAGUCCUGGAGAGGAAGGUGGAAUGCUUGGUGUAGAGGUGAAAUUCGUAGAUAUCAAGCGGAACACCGGUGGCGAAGGCGGCCUUCUGGACAGUGACUGACGCUGAGACGGCGAAAGCGUGGGGAGCAAA